GAUGAACGCUGGCGGCGUGCUUAACACAUGCAAGUCGAACGGUGAAGGCGGAGCUUGCUCUGCUGGAUCAGUGGCGAACGGGUGAGUAACACGUGAGCAAUCUGCCCCUGACUCUGGGAUAAGCGCUGGAAACGGCGUCUAAUACUGGAUACGAGCUGCGAAGGCAUCUUCAGCAGCUGGAAAGAACUUCGGUCAGGGAUGAGCUCGCGGGCUAUCAGCUUGUUGGUGAGGUAACGGCUCACCAAGGCGUCGACGGGUAGCCGGCCUGAGAGGGUGACCGGCCACCCUGGGACUGAGACACGGCCCAGACUCCUACGGGAGGCAGCAGUGGGGAAUAUUACACAAUGGGCGAAAGCCUGAUGCAGCAACGCCGCGUGAGGGACGACGGCCUUCGGGUUGUAAACCUCUUUUAGCAGGGAAGAAGCGAAAGUGACGGUACCUGCAGAAAAAGCGCCGGCUAACUACGUG
rnacentral:rRNA from 1 species